GUGUGCUGGAAUGGUUUGUGAUCCUGGGGAUGGGUCAGCCCGUGCUGGAAUGGUUUGUGAUCCUGGGGAUGGGUCAGCGUGUGCUGGAAUGGUUUGUGAUCCUGGGGAUGGCUCAGUGUGUGCUGGAAUGGUUUGUGAUGAGAUCAGCCUGUGCUGGAGUGGUUUGUGAUCCUGGGGAUGGAUCAGCCUGUGCUGGAAUGGUUUGUGAUGAGAUCAGCCCGUGCUGGAGUGGUUUGUGAUCCUGGGGAUGGAUCAGCCUGUGCUGGAAUGGUUUGUGAUGAGAUCAGCCUGUGCUGGAAUGGUUUGUGAUCCUGGGGAUGGAUCAGCCUGUGCUGGAAUGGUUUGUGAUCCUGGGGAUGGAUCAGUGUGUGCUGGAAUGGUUUGUGAUCCUGAGGAUGGAUCAGCCCGUGCUGGAAUGGUUUGUGAUCCUGGGGAUGGAUCAGCCCGUGCUGGAAUGGUUUGUGAUCCUGGGGACGGAUCAGUUUGUGCUGGAAUGGUUUGUGAUCCUGGGGAUGGAUCAGCCCGUGCUGGAGUGGUUUGUGAUCCUGGGGAUGGAUCAGCCUGUGCUGGAAUGGUUUGUGAUCCUGGGGAUGGAUCAGCCCGUGCUGGAAUGGUUUGUGAUCCUGGGGAUGGAUCAGCCUGUGCUGGAAUGGUUUGUGAUCCUGGGGAUGGAUCAGCCCGUGCUGGAGUGGUUUGUGAUCCUGGGGACGGAUCAGUUUGUGCUGGAAUGGUUUGUGAUCCUGGGGUUGGAACAUUUUGUGCUCCUUUUUGCAGUGUGGAGAGGAAAGGUGGGUCUCGAGCCAGAGAGGAUGUGGGUUGAUGCUUCUUGAUAAGGUGAGACUCUUCUUGCAGAGGAAAACAGAUGAGUUUGCUCCUUCCAGAGUCUAGAAAUUACAUUGCUUUUUUCAAAAUAAAUGUGGCCUGCACUACCCAGGGAGAAACACCUCGUUUGGCUUUCAUUAAGAGAGCUCGCUGUAUUUUAUGAAGGUAUCAGGGGCUGUAGCUAUAGGAUUUAUUUGUUCACACUUCAAAGCAUUUUGGUGUGCUGGUGGUAUUUGGAGAUUUUGGUGAACAAACAGCCAGAGAAGGGACCUGCUCUCAAUUCCUCUGAGGUGUGACUGGAGUGCUUCAGACCUGAGUUCCUGCUGGGAAGGCUCUGAAUUUCCAGGGGUGUUGGCCAGAUUUGCCUUCCAGACUUUGUCUGCAUUGGUAACAGCAAGAAUUCAGUGCUAACAUUUACCUCUCUUUUACUUCAACUCAAAAGUUUCAUUUUAUCACUGCCAGGCUGGAAAUGGGGGCUCCAGCUGAGAUGGUGCUGAGUGGAUCCUGCCACGAGUGCCCUGGAUUUCUGCUUGGCUUUGCUUCAGAAUUACCGGCAACGCCAAGUGCAGUCCCUAAUUUUACCCCAUUGUGUGCUACACAAGAGAGGAAGAAGAAAAAAGCUUAAUCUUCAAAAAAAAAAAACCCCUUCGUAUUUUUCUCUUAAUAUUGGCAGUUGUUUGCUUUUAAAUUGCUCCUUUUUCAUCAAAAGCUGAGAGCUCUGUUAAAAGGAGCAGCCCUGCAAUAAUCUGAGUACUAACAGAACUCUGGUGGUGAAGCUUCAGCCUGUGCUGGAGAAUCCUUCUGGAAAUUGAAACUGGUGUGGUGAGAAUGGAUUUUUUUGGAGUUUCCAGCCCUGUAACCUGGCUGGGGUGAGUCAUUUGUGGCCAUUGAAAGCCCAAUUACUGCCUCAGAAAGCAGGCUGAUAACGAUGCGAAAGUGGCAGUGAUGGAACACUCAAAUGGAAAUAAUUAGAGUGUUUGCCUUGGUACUUAAGUCAUUUAUUCCCUAAUUAACUGUCCCGGAACCGCCUUUUCCCAGUGAUGUAUAAAUUUACCCAAGGAGUUCAGGUAUCAGAAUUAAUGUUGUUGAUUAAGCUCGAUGUGUGCAGGAGAGACUGGAAGCAUGGCCCAGAAAGCUGGGAAAACACUGGAAAAAAUGGAAUACGAGGGAAUGUUCUGGCUCUUCGGAUUGUAAAAUAUGUGCACAUCAUCUUUUUGCCGCUUUGCAUUGUCCUGAUUAAAAAAUGCAAUGCUGCAAUAAUUAUUUAAAAGCCUGGUUACUUUUAAAAAUGCCCAUAAACCCAAGGUCAAUUUAAACCACAGAAUGGGGAGCCUGGAGUUAAUUUUUGCCUCUUUCUGGUCAUUAGGAGUGGAGAAAUGGUGGUCAGGAUGAGCUGUAAAUUCAGUCUGGGGACAGGUUUUAGUGAGCAGCUACCCCUCAGAGCAGGGCCAGCUCGGGGUACACAGGCUGACACGAGUGUAGGUACACAGCUUUUAGUUUUGGUCCUGUUGGUGUUAAUUUUGACAGACCUUGACCCUUUCCUGAGCUGCCUCUCUGAAAGCUCAGGUUUGAUGUUUGUAUUAAUUUCUGUAUAUUAACAUCAGACUCUGGCAAGUACAAAUAUUUCUUCCAUAAAAAAUUCAGCAUUGCCUGUUAAAUAUUUCACAGCAACCCUAAACUUUUAUCACUCACUUUAAUUGACAGGCUCCUUUAUGUGUGUUUUGUUUUGAAUAAUUAAAUCCUUCUGUCUUCAUCAAACCCCCCCAAACUUGUGAAUAUUCUGUGUUCUGUCCCUUGGCAGCUGUGGGUUCUGAGUUUCUUGUUUGUCUCAUGGCCUCAAGAAAAAACACCACUGAGAGCUCUUCUGGAGUUUUGGGGCUGGCAAGAACUCGGCUCCCCCUGAGGUUCUGUUCCUGCAGGCAUUUCCCACUUCAAACAAGGGGUUCAGGAGUGCUCCUGCUGCAGUUUUAGUGGAGUUCCCCUGGUCCCAAGAAAGCCCAAGGUUCCCAAAUUAGAUUUUAGUGCUGAUUUUCCAAUCCAUGCUUGUUUUGGAGUAAUAAUAAUAAUAAUAAUAAUAAUAAUAAUAAUAAUAAUACUUCUAUUAGCAAGAAUAAUUUGGGGGCAAAAGGCUUCUGCUGCUAUAAUAAAAAGAGUAACCUUGGCUUUGGAUAAAUAGAAAACAGCAGCACAGACAGACACUGUGUAAUGACAGAUUUCUGGGGCAACAAUAAUUAAAUUACUUUGGUUAUUCUUGUUUCACUACACAAACAAACAAUAUUAUGCAGCUUAUUUUUAGAUCAAUUUGUUAGCUCAGGCCCUCUCACUGUAUGGUUGUUUCCUGUGGAGUCAGAUUCACUUAAGCAGUAUUUCUAUAAGGCUUGGAUUUCCUUCUUCCCUUUCUUUCCUUCCUUCCUGCUCCAGCUCUUGUGUUCAUUCUGUUCCUGUGCCGAGUGGAGCUUGGAGUAAAACCCUGACUCGAGGAGAGUUUUGUCAUUGAGCAAAGGGAAAAAAAGACAGAAUUUAACAUGCAAUGAUCAUUACAGCACCAGACUGGAUUCCUGGGGACAAGAGCUCCUUCUCCCAGCUGGUUCUGAUGUCAGCAACCUUCCUUCCCCUCCUCAAAACCCCAUCCUCCCCCAAAACAAGGACAUAAAUACAGGAAUUGGGGGAAGUUGGGCAAUAAACCAUCCUCCAGUGGAUCUCGAGGUGUUUGUCAUCCCUUAUCAGCCCCAUAAUGACAGUGCAGAGAUGGCAGAUGAUGACAGCAGCCCCAGUGACACCGCUCAGCGCCAAAGAGGUGAAGAUUGCACAUUUUAUUUUGGAAAAUAAUUAUGCAGCUAAUUACAGCUCUUGACUCUCGUCCUUCCCCUGCCUGUGCUCUUGGGCAGGCUGCUCUGCUUGGCUUGCACGAGACGGUGUCAGUUAUUCUAAAGGUCAAAAGACUCUCUUGUUAUGAUUUGUAAUUGCUGGUGAUGGGGAAUAAAAUAAAUACAGCAUCGUG